AUAUAAGGCCUGGCACAAGCAGUUCAGCCGGCUAUCAUAAGGCAGAGAACGAGCUAUUAGGUUCUUUUCAAAGACUAUUCUAAGUUUUUUUGUUACAACCACUGUAACCAGAUUCUAAAUUAGUAAACGUAACAGAAAACUGACAUGAACCUUGAAUUCAUAUUUCUUGGCAGCAUUGUGCUUGCAACCAUUUUUGUAUUCCUGAAGAUUUUACUAGAGAUUUUCAACAUUCUCUCAGUUUGCUUUUGGAAAUUUGACAUUAAUUUCAAUUUUACUCAUAUCCAAUUUUUGUUUAUGUGCUUUCUUUUGCUUGUAACAACUGAAAUGCAACUGAAGGAUACUUUGCCAUAAAGAUAACAGACAUUGCUGGAGAAUACCGCUGAAGUUCUCUAGAUAACACUAUAUGAAUGGCCACCAAAGUUAACAUCUCGUAUAGCUGUAAGGACAACACCUUCUAUGUAAAACAAGAACGAUGCUGUGACUCUUCUGGUGAACAAUUUCAAUCAUAUUAUGGUGACUACAUCCCAUAUUCAAUACCCAUGGUCAGGCAAAUUGUAGUUCAUCUGGACAUCGUAGAAUGAUUACUGGCUCGAAUAAAGAAAAAUAAAAUCCUA